CGCUGGCGGCGUGCUUCAUACAUGGCAAGUCGAACGAGAAAUACAACUUCGGUUGGUGGAAAGUGGCGGACGGGUGAGUAAUAUGUAGAGAAUCUGCCCUAGAGAUGGGGACAACAGUUGGAAACGACUGCUAAUACCCAAUAUGAGCGUAGCUGAGAUGCUAUUCUUGAAAACUCCGGUGCUCUGGGAUGAGUCUGCAUCUGAUUAGCUAGUUGGCGGUGUAAUGGACCACCAAGGCGACGAUCAGUAGCUGGUUUGAGAGGAUGAUCAGCCACAAUGGGACUGAGACACGGCCCAUACUCCUACGGGAGGCAGCAGUAGGGAAUUUUGCGCAAUGGGCGAAAGCCUGACGCCAGCAACGCCGCGUGAUUGAUGAAGCCCUUCGGGGUGUAAAGAUCUGUCAGUGGGGACGAAACUUGACGGUACCCACAGAGGAAGCACCGGCUAACUCCGUGCCAGCAGCGGC
rnacentral:rRNA from 1 species